CGGCGCACCAGACAGGCCGCCAGUUUCGCCCGCAUGAGGCGAGGCGAGCGGCGGCCGUUCGAUCGUGGUGUUAGAUAUCAUCAGCGCGCCGA
rnacentral:tRNA from 1 species